ACGUAUGUCGCAAGCGUUAUCCGGAAUUAUUGGGCAUAAAGGGCAUCUAGGCGGCCAGAUAAGUCUGGGGUGAAAACUUGCGGCUCAACCGCAAGCCUGCCCUGGAAACUAUGUGGCUAGAGUACUGGAGAGGUGGACGGAACUGCACGAGUAGAGGUGAAAUUCGUAGAUAUGUGCAGGAAUGCCGAUGAUGAAGAUAGUUCACUGGACGGUAACUGACGCUGAAGUGCGAAAGCUAGGGGAGCAAACAGG
rnacentral:rRNA from 1 species